AGAUGUGAGGGCGAUCUGGCUGUGACAUCUGUCAGCCCACUGAUCACCAGGGUUGAUUUGGCUGAUCUGGCUGGCUAGGUGGGUGUCCCCCUCCUCCCUCACUGCUUCAUGUGCAUCCCUUCUGAAGCUGCACACUCGGUCAAAGAGGGCAACCUUCCCCAAUAGAGGAGAGGACCAUUCUUCAGUCAAGGGUAUACAAAUAGCUGCGCUCCCCUUCUAGAACCUCCAAACAAGCUCUCAAGAACUUAUCAAACUCAACACCAAAGAACAAAUAAUUCAAUCAAGAAAUGGGCAGAAGACAUGAACAGACAUUUCU
rnacentral:snRNA from 1 species